rnacentral:rRNA from 1 species
UGGGAAUUUGGACAAUGGGCGAAGCCUGAUCCAGCAAUGCCGCGUGUGUGAAGAAGGCCUUCGGGUUGUAAAGCACUUUUGUCCGGAAAGAAAUCCUUGGCUCUAAUACAGUCGGGGGAUGACGGUACCGGAAGAAUAAGCACCGGCUAACUACGUGCCAGCAGCCGCGGUAAUACGUAGGGUGCAAGCGUUAAUCGGAAUUACUGGGCGUAAAGCGUGCGCAGGCGGUUUGCUAAGACCGAUGUGAAAUCCCCGGGCUCAACCUGGGAACUGCAUUGGUGACUGGCAGGCUAGAGUAUGGCAGAGGGGGGUAGAAUUCCACGUGUAGCAGUGAAAUGCGUAGAGAUGUGGAGGAAUACCGAUGGCGAAGGCAGCCCCCUGGGCCAAUACUGACGCUCAUGCACGAAAGCGUGGGGAGCAAACAGGAUUAGAUACCCUGGUAGUCCACGCCCUAAA